GACGUAGGGCGCGAGCGUUGUCCGGAAUUAUUGGGCGUAAAGAGCUCGUAGGCGGUGUGUCACGUCGGCCGUGAAAACCUGGGGCUUAACUCUGGGCGUGCGGUCGAUACGGGCAUCACUAGAGUUCGGCAGGGGAGACUGGAAUUCCUGGUGUAGCGGUGAAAUGCGCAGAUAUCAGGAGGAACACCGAUGGCGAAGGCAGGUCUCUGGGCCGAUACUGACGCUGAGGAGCGAAAGCGUGGGGAGCGAACAGG
rnacentral:rRNA from 1 species